GCGGGGAAGAACAACAGGGAUUGCCCUAGUAACGGCGAGUGAAGCGGCAACAGCUCAAAUUUGAAAUCUGGCUCUCGGGCCCGAGUUGUAAUUUGUAGAGGAUGCUUUUGAUGCGGUGCCUUCCGAGUUCCCUGGAACGGGACGCCAUAGAGGGUGAGAGCCCCGUCUGGUUGGAUGCCAAAUCUCUGUAAAGCUCCUUCGACGAGUCGAGUAGUUUGGGAAUGCUGCUCUAAAUGGGAGGUAUAUGUCUUCUAAAGCUAAAUACCGGCCAGAGACCGAUAGCGCACAAGUAGAGUGAUCGAAAGAUGAGAAGCACUUUGAAAAGAGAGUUAAAAAGUACGUGAAAUUGUUGAAAGGGAAGCGUUUAUGACCACACUUGGGCUUGGUUAAUCAUCUGGGGUUCUCCCCAGUGCACUUUUCCAGUCCAGGCCAGCAUCAGUUUUCGCCGGGGGAUAAAGGCUUCAGGAAUGUGGCUCUCUCCGGGGAGUGUUAUAACCCGUUGCGUAAUACCCUGGCGGGGACUGAGGUUCGCGCAUCUGCAAGGAUGCUGGCGUAAUGGUCAUCAACCACCCGUCUUGAAACACAGACCAAGGAGUCGUCUUCGUAUGCGAGUGUUCGGGUGUCAAACCCCUACGCGUAAUGAAAGUGAACGCAGGUGAGAGCUUCGGCGCAUCAUCGACCGAUCCUGAUGUUCUCGGAUGGAUUUGAGUAAGAGCAUACGGGGCCGGACCCAAAAGAAGGUGAACUAUGCCUGUGUAGGGUGAAGCCAGAGGAAACUCUGGUGGAGGCUCGCAGCGGUUCUGACGUGCAAAUCGAUCGUCAAACAUGGGCAUGGGGGCGAAAGACUAAUCGAACCUUCUAGUAGCUGGUUUCCGCCGAAGUCCCCUCCGGAAAAGCGAACCUCACUUGGGCAGAAUCCGCCCAAUUUUCCUUCAGGAAUAUUUUACCCCCCGCCAAAAUUUGGGACCGAUAUGUCUUUCCCC
rnacentral:rRNA from 1 species